CGUAUAUUAAAGUUGUUGCAGUUAAAAAGCUCGUAGUUGGACUUGUGCAUGUCCCUAGAUGUCCAUAUUGUUUGGUGCGUUGUAGGGCGUGCAUCCUUGGGUGGAAUUUGUGUGGCAUUAGGUUGUUGUACAGAGGAUGCUCAUCGUUUACUGUGAAAAAAAUAGAGUGUUCAAAGCAGGCUUUUGCCGUUGAAUAUAUUAGCAUGGAAUAAUAAGAUAAGACCUUGGUACUAUUUUGUUGGUUUGCGCACUGAGGUAAUGAUUAACAGAGACAGUUGGGGG
rnacentral:rRNA from 1 species